AACGUAGGUGGCGAGCGUUAUCCGGAUUUACUGGGCGUAAAGGGUGUGCAGGCGGGCUGUUAAGUGGUGUGUGAAACAUCCCGGCUCAACCGGGAGAGGUUAUGCCAGACUGGCAGUCUAGAGAGCGAGAGAGGGACGUGGAAUUCCGGGUGUAGUGGUGAAAUGCGUAGAGAUCCGGAGGAACCCCAGAGGCGAAGGCGGCGUCCUGGCUCGCAUCUGACGCUCAGACACGACAGCAUGGGGAGCGAACGGG
rnacentral:rRNA from 1 species